rnacentral:rRNA from 1 species
UACAGAGGGGGCAAGCGUUGUUCGGAAUUACUGGGCGUAAAGGGCGCGUAGGCGGCCUUCUAAGUCGAACGUGAAAUCCCCGGGCUCAACCCGGGAACUGCGUCCGAUACUGGGAGGCUUGAAUCCGGGAGAGGGAUGCGGAAUUCCAGGUGUAGCGGUGAAAUGCGUAGAUAUCUGGAGGAACACCGGUGGCGAAGGCGGCAUCCUGGACCGGCAUUGACGCUGAGGCACGAAGGCCAGGGGAGCAAACGGG